rnacentral:rRNA from 1 species
UUUCCUACGGGGCGCAGCAGUGAGGAAUAUUGGUCAAUGGUCGGGAGACUGAACCAGCCAUGCCGCGUGCGGGAUGACGGCACAGAGAAUUGUAAACCUCUUUUGUCAGGGAACAAAGGCGGGGACGCGUCUCCGGCUGAGAGUAUCUGAAGAAUAAGCAUCGGCUAACUCCGUGCCAGCAGCCGCGGUAAUACGGAGGAUGCAAGCGUUAUCCGGAUUUAUUGGGUUUAAAGGGUGCGUAGGCGGUCUGUUAAGUCAGCGGUCAAAUCCCGGGGCUCAACCUCGG